AUGCCAAACUACUCGAUUGCAACACAAAAGAUGAUUGUUGCGGCUACCAUGACACUACACAACUACGUCCGCCUCCAUGACAAAGAGGAUCUCCACUUUCUUCGGUAUGAGAGGGAUCCGGAUUAUGUUCCAACUAUUCCUAAUGCAUCGGAUGCUUCAACAACGGCAGAAAGCGGUCCUAACAUGGAUUUGUUUAGGCAUGAACUAGCUACAGCCAUUGCUCUUAGUUGGUGA
rnacentral:rRNA from 1 species